GAAGCCGCCCCGAGGCCGGCAGAGCGCCCAGCCGCGGCGGAGACCGGAAGCCUUCCGGAGCCCAAGGCUGUGCACCGGCCCUGUGCUGAUUCUCUGCCUAGGAAAGGACCAUGCAGCCUGAGAUCAAAGUACCCCUGAACUUCAUCAUUUUCUACUCUUGUAUAACAAGCUGCUCUGGCGCUUCUGAAAAAGAAAUAAGAAGUCCACUGGUACCCUGACAAACCGCUGAAGGGCUCUGGCUUCCACCAUGUCCACAUUGGGGAGAUGGUGGACCCCUUUGGGGAGCUGGCCGCCAAGCGAAGUGGCCUGGCAGUGGAAGAUGUGCGGGCCAAUGUGCCUGAGGAGAUAAGCAUAUGGAUUGACCCCUUCGAGGUGUCCAACCAGAUUGGCGAGAAGGGAGCAGUGAAAGUGCUGUACCUGGAUGACAGUGAGGGCUGCGGGGCCCCAGAGCUGGACAUAGAGAUCAAGAGCAGUUUCAACCCUGACGACCAGAUACUCGUGCCUACCGGAAGCCAGGACAGCUCCUUGUCCAACUCCCCGUCGCCAUGCUUUUCCCAUCACCCAGCCCCACCUUCAUCCUCUGCCUCGCCAGCCCAUCACCUUCACCAUAGACUCCUUUGCUGCCACCAAAUUAGGCUCCAUGAAGAUAAAGAAGAGGGGUGGUCAUGAAAAACUCUCGCCGAAGGCCACGUACAGUCUCAAGUACAACAGUGGCGGCUCGCUCAGUUUCUUCUUUGAUGGGGCCGAUGGCCAGGGCAGUGGCACCCCAUCCCCCUUUGGAGGCAGUGGGACUGUCACCUGCAACAACAGCAGCUUCUGCAUGGUCUAG